UUUCCGUAGGUGAACCUGCGGAAGGAUCAUUACCGAGUGAUGGUCUCUCAGGCCCGACCUCCCACCCUGUGUUUUUGUGACCUUGUUGCCUUGGCGCGUCCGCCUCGAUGAGAGGCCGCCGGAAGCUCACCGCUUUCGGCCCGUGCCCUCUGGUAGCCCCCUUAAAUUCUUUAUCAACUUGUCGUCCGAGUCUAGACGUUAUAAAAAAAAAUUUCAACAAAGGAUCUCUUGGUUCUCGCAUCGUCGAUGUACACCGCAGAUCGGCAGAGCACACGCCGU
rnacentral:misc_RNA from 1 species